rnacentral:rRNA from 1 species
AUGCAAAGAACUUUGAAAAGAGAGUUAAAGAGUACCUGAAACUGUUGAAAGGGAAGCGAAGGAAACCAGUGCCGGCUCAGUCAUACUUCCCUGUCUGCUUGCAGAUUGGGCGCUGUGGUUGGCCUGUGUUGUCCUUGGUUGAAUCCGCCGGAAGAGCGCAGUGAGAGUUGAUCUCUGUUGCUAGCGGCGGUUUUGACUGAGGAUGACGAAAUGGUUUUCUUUACCCCGUCUUGAAACACGGACCAAGGAGUCUAACAUAUGUGCGAGUACAGAGGUGGCAAACCUCCGUGCGUAAUGAAAGUGACAGUGGUUGGACAGUUUUGGCACAAUCCGCCGGCCUCAAUCCCCUGGGAGAACGGUCUGAGUGUGAGCAUACAUGUUGGGACCCGAAAGAUGGUGAACUAUGCCUGAAUAGGGUGAAGCCAGGGGAAACUCUGGUGGAGGCUCGUAGCGAUUCUGACGUGCAAAUCGAUCGUCAAAUUUGGGUAUAGGGGCGAAAGACUAAUCGAACCAUCUAGUAGCUGGUUCCCUCCGAAAUUUCCCUCAGGAUAGCUGCGAUCGGAGUUCAAUUUUAUCA